GUUGUGGAUACACCUCCCCCAGAUGGAUUCCUUUUGCUGCCUUUCCCACGAAGUCUCUCUCUCGUUUCCUCUCCUCCAGCCCCAUGCCCAUCAUCCCCUCCCCUGCUGAUUCGCCGCCAAAUCCACAUCGCCACCGUGACUGUUGCAGGAACGAGGCAUGAGGGUGGAGGCGAGGGAGAUAGGGGAGGCCGGACAAGGGUGACGUGGCGUUCCGUGGCCGCGAUGGCCGGAGGGCGAGGGAGAGAGGAGAGGCAGGAUGAGGGCGGCAUGGCCGCGGUGGCCGGAGGGCGAGGGAGAGAGGGGAGGCCGGACGAGGGCGGCGUGUCGUUCUGUGGCCGUGGUGGCAGGAGGGGUGGCUCCCCCGCUCUCGUGCAGCCACUUCUCUGACCGCAUUGCAGCGACGACGCGAGUUUGGCUAUCGACAAGGUACAUAAUGUUCAGCCUAAAACGGUGUUGGUGCUUCGUGAAAAGUUUGGCCAACACCAUUUUGACAAAUAGAAAAGUUCAGUACAGUAGCCAUCGGACUAAAAAUAAUAUAGCGAGCCAGGCCAGAUCUUGCCAAGUGAAUAUUAUCUAUUUGAGGACUAAUGCACUGAUGUCCUACAACUUGAUAUGCUACAAGAAAAAGAAUGGAAGUGUUCUAAAACAGCAGUCACUGCAUGCUGAAGAAAAAUGUGAGGAAGCGGAAGCUAGAGCCAACGAGCUUGAGAAGAAGAUGGCCUCCUAUUCAGCUCGGAUCAAGUGAGGCACGGGCGAGGGGAGGGCUGGUGGCCCGCGCCGCUGUUGUAGCCAAGGAUGACGCUGCGAGCUUCGAUUUGGCGGGCUCUCCUUACUAGCUGUUCUGCUGGUGUGGUCUAGCCACGAUACUACACUGCGAUGAUUGUCGGGGGAGUUAAAUCUUCAACAAUUAGUUAUAGUGAAAUUGCAAACAAUUAUGUGGCUUCAAAGGAUCCUGACGUGGAAGGUGAAAACGGUGAAGUUGAUGUUGAUCUAGAAAGUUUUUCUGAUAUUGAUGAUGUGGAGAUUCACGGGUAUCUUCAAAUUGAGUAAACGACACAGUAGAAAAAGAUAAUUUGGGAGGAAAUGAACAAAGAAUAUCUAGAGGUAGGUAUUGUAACUCUAGCAAGAUGAGGUGGUUCUUAUUCUCACAAGAGGGUGAAAGUAUUACAGUCCGCUGCUUUAUUUGACAGGAAAAUUCCACUAUUAGUAUUCAACGAUUUUAUGUCUACCAUUAGGAUAUUGGCAUCUCUCAUCUAUUAGUAUUCAACGAUUUUAUGUCUCUUUAGGCAUUGUAAGGUUUUUCAGUCGUGCGACUUGCUUUAUUACUUACCAUUUUCUGAUGUUCAUGGUUAGCUGUCAUUUUGUAUUGCUAUAUACUACUCCCCCCGUCCCAUAAUACAAGAUCAUUUUGCAAGCAAUGAUCUUAUAUUAUGGGACGGAGGUAGUAGCGGUUACCAUUUUCUUUUUUGCUACACAACUCGUUUAAUUUCUGUAUUUUUGUUGUUUCUUUGUUGAUUAGGUAGCAUCUUCUUUUAAGCAUUUUAUUGGACCUGAUUGGAUGUACUUUCCUACAUAUUUGUUUGUUUACUAGACAAUAUGCUACCCUGUUUUAUCAUGUGUACAAUUUAUGUGUGUGCCGCCUACUGGGUACUUGUGUUCUGCAUGUUUUUUCUUAUACAAAUGAACAUUGUCAGUAACAUGGAUUGAUUAUUUAACCAAGGUGAUUUCUUUCAUUCCAGCUGAUCCAGUGCAUUAGGUUGUGUUCUUUGUUAAGCAUAUGCACAUAAGUGCGAAGACAUCUCUUUUUUGGUUUUUUUCAAUGCAGAGUGAUCACCUAUUGGUUUUGCACUGCAUCAACACUUUGUGAUUCUGCUUGUUAUCCCCUCGUUAAGGAAGAUUAAGUUCAUCAAUGUAGAAAAUUAAUCUUAAGGAAGCAUUUUGGAGUUUAGGCAGCAAGCUUGAAGAGUGUCCUGUCGCCACCAGCAGUAGCACCCACCGCGGCUUGCCUCCUGCAUCCACCUCACCCCGCCAGUGUACUGCCGCCACCAGCUCUAGCACCUACCGCGCCUUGCCUCCUGCCUCCACCUCCCCCCACCGUACCUAACCUGCAGCAGCAGCUGCUGCCCACCGUCACCGUUCUGGCCCCUACUAACCUCCCACCGCUGCCACCGGCCACUGUCAAGCAUCCGAUGGUUGAUUGGAAAGAGACUUCCGUCAGGGCAGCUGAGCCUAGUGACGAUGAGCAUGAGUGGGAUCUGAAGGCCAGGUGGUGUUGUGGGGCUUGAUGGACCGUGACUGCUUCUUUUCCCAAACAGUCUGUGAAUCAUUUUGGUUUGGAAAAAGUGAGAACGAACUAGUUCGAGAAAGCAGAAAAAAACACGCCUCGUGUAGAAAUGACCUUGGACGCAUUUGAUGGAUCUGGUGAUGGGAGAUUUUCUUUUCUUGUCGCAUGGAUUUAACGUGACUUCUUCCCAUACAAGUUAUAUGUUGUCGCGGGAAGAAGAUUUCAUGGAGAUGCCCAUGUAAUGAUGUAAAUGGAGUAUGUUUGAGUCUGUCUGGUCCGAUGACUUAUUUUGGUCA